GCGGGAGAAAGAAGCGGAGCCGGGCCGCGCCGCAGCGUCCCUCCCCCCGGAGUCGCGGCGCCGGCCUGGGCGGACCCAGCCGAGCUGUUAAGGACUGAAAUGAAGCCGGGAACUUGCGGGGCUGGGGGGCAGGGAGAGCUCAGAGCGGCUCCAAAGGCCAGCAGGGGAGCAAGGCCCGAGGCCCUGGCGAGCCUGGGCUGGGGGAGAAGUCCCUUCCCAUUCCAGCUCGAUCAAUCUUCCUUGGCUGGGAUCGGUCAAUAAAAAUAGUGUGAAGCGGUGGUGGUAGCAGAGCGUCUGGGGAGGAAGUGGAGGCCAGAGGUGUCGAGGCCGGCGCCGGUGCCCCUCACCAGCCGGGUGCGCGCCCCCAUGGUCUGCAAACCUCAGGCCCGGGCCCAGAUCCUCUCGGGCCGCCGAGCGCGGCCAGGCAAGGCCUUUAAUUGGGUGUCUCCAUUUUAACAGUGUCCAUUGUUAGGGCAAUUAGCGAGAGACAAUCAGCACCGAGAGGCGUUUAAUUCGAUACUGUGCGCCCGCCGCAGCCUCGGCCGGGGCGCUUAGAACGACUGGCCGCGGCUUCCCCGGAGGACUGGGGAGGCGCCCGUUCCUUUCCUUGCGCGUUUUGUCUCAGGUGUGAGAGUGAAAGGUAGGCGACUGGGAAGAGAGCAACCUGAGACAGGCCUUGGCGGGAAACCCGUCAGGGCCUCAAAAUCUCUGCCAGGCGCCCCUGGGUGCCUUCUGGGCGCGCGCGCCCGGGCUGCGUCGCUGCCGGAGUUCCCAGGCCUGCUAGGAAAACGACGAGAGGAACGCGACCUGGAAACCAGUUUCCUUCUCCUUUUUGUGGGGUCCUCUCCUCAGCCACCCGAACCAAGUCCGAAUUUCCUUCCUGAUCAGAGAAGGCGGAGCAAAAGAGAGACCCUGGUUUGUGGCACGUACACACCUCCUUCUCGUACGGAGCCAGCCCCACUACCCCCUCCUCUGCCUCGGCCCCCGGAUUAGGUUACCGUGGUCGGGCAAGGAUUUUUACUGGAUACGAGAAUAACACAGCUGAAAUGCAGAGUAGGGAGCGGAAUCACAGCGUGAUGAGAACCCCAGUGCUGGCUGAGGACCCCAGCUCAGCAAGUUUGACCCUUUUAAAAUAAAACACAGCGAGCAAGGACUUUGGGGAUAUGGAGAAAAAAAAGGCACCCAAAACUCACUCUCAACGGGAAGAUGCGGGAAGUGAACGCGUCCAAGGAGAGAACCCGUAGGAACUGCUACGAAAAGAGCUAUGUAUACUCGCCUUUUCUCCCGGCUCCCACGCCCAACCUCACGGGCCUGGGGUCUUCCCCCCCCCCCCGUGUGGAAUGAGCCACCUCUUUGGCAGUGAAAUGUGGUUUGAUUUACCCUUUUCUCUUUGUUUUUUGCUUAUUCAUCUGUCACUGCUUAAAACUCGGAAGGAAACCCGCCCAGGCCAGGAGGAGCGGAGAGCUAUGUGGAGAGUCAAAGAGAGAAGAGAUGCGCUCGGAGAUUACCCAUUCGCACUCCGCCCCCAGCCCCAGCCGCGGCGGGGGUCCCCGGUUUCGAGGGAUGCUGUCCCUCCCUCCGCCCCUACCACCUUAUUCCCAGGCUGAGAAAACCUCUGAUAGUAGCAAGAUAAAAAUUGGAUAGGUAGGG
rnacentral:lncRNA from 1 species